UGAGUGGUGUAAGCUUAGCUUAUAUCUUUUGCCAAGUGUAAAUAGCUUGGAGAAUAAGGGUGUGGGCAAGACUGGUGGCAGCCGCCGCGGUAAAACCAGCGCCUCUAGUGGUAUCCACGAAUAUUGGGCCUAAAGCGUUCGUAGCCGGUUUGUUAAGUCUACUGUGAAAUGUUGGGGCUUCACCCUAACGCGCGCAGUGGAUACUGGCAGACUUGGGAGCGGGGGAGGGCCGGAGUACUUUCAGGGUAGGGGUAAAAACCUGUGAAUUGCAGUUACAAUUUACAGGAUUGCAAUCCGUUGAGCCUGAAAGGACUACCAGUGGCGAAGGCGCCUGCCCAAAACGCGUCCGACGGUGAGGAACGAAAGCUGGGGGAGCGAACGGGAUUAGAUACCCCGGUAGUCCCAGCUGUAAAUGAUGCAGACUGUGGUGUUACAUUAUCAUAAGAUAGUGUAGUGCUGUAGCGUAGAGCCUUUUGACUUACGAGUCAUUGGUACGCAUGUGUUAAGUCUGCCGCCUGGGGAGUACGAUCGCAAGAUUGAAACUUAAAGGAAUUGGCGGGGGAGCACCACAAGGGGUGGAUGCUACGGUUCAAUUGGAUACAACGCCGGAAACAUCACCAAGGGCGACGGCAGAAUGAAGGCCAGUCUAAAGAACUUGCCCAACAAGCCGAGAGGUGGUGCAUGGCCA
rnacentral:rRNA from 1 species